rnacentral:rRNA from 1 species
UACAGAGGGUGCAAGCGUUAUUCGGAAUGACUGGGCGUAAAGGGCGCGUAGGCGGUUGCCUAAGUUAGAUGUGAAAGCCCGGGGCUUAACCCCGGAAUUGCGCCGGAAACUACAUGACUAGAGCAUUGGAGAGGGUAGCGGAAUUCACGGUGUAGCAGUGAAAUGCGUAGAUAUCGUGAGGAACACCAGAGGCGAAGGCGGCUACCUGGACAAUUGCUGACGCUCAGGCACGAAAGCGUGGGGAGCAAAAGGG